rnacentral:lncRNA from 1 species
GCUUAUAUGAUCUAUUGUUUGUAUAGCAGUGUGUUGGGCAUCUCACACAAUCCUACCAAGGUCUGGAGUGUAAGUUUACUUCUAGCUCUUGUCUGAACCAUGAAGAGUGAAGAAACAGAAGAUAUUUUAUAAGAUGUUCCUACCAUUUCUACUGAAUUUUACGAUUCAUGAUUCUCAAUUACUUCUUCAAGAUGAUAACACAUGCACUUUAGAGGACAUCACACAAAUAUGAGGAAGCAAGCACAGUUAGGAAAUACAGAUUUCAGUACCUCUGGAAGAUUCAGGCAAAAAAAACCCUAAAAUCGUGGACAAAAUUGAAGGUAAAGGUAUAAUUUCCUGCUUAUU